rnacentral:rRNA from 1 species
GAUGAACGCUGGCGGCGUGCCUAAUACAUGCGAGUCGAACGAACGGACGAGAAGCUUGCUUCUCUGAUGUGAGCGGCGGACGGGUGAGUAACACGUGGGUAACCUACCUUUAAGCGUGGGAUAACUACGGGAAACGAUAGCUAAUACCGGAUAAUAUUUUGUACCACAUGGUUUUAAAGUGAAAGACGGAAUUGCUCUCACAUAUAGAGGACUUCGCUCUGCAUUAGCUAGUUGUUAAGUUAUGGGCUUACCAAGGCAACGAUGCAUAGCCGACCUGAGAGGGUGAUCGGCCACACUGGAACUGAGACACGGUCCAGACUCCUACGGGAGGCAGCAGUAGGGAAUCUUCCGCAAUGGGCGAAAGCCUGACGGAGCAACGCCGCGUGAGUGAUGAAGGUCUUCGGAUCGUAAAACUCUGUUAUUAGGGAAGAACAUAUGUGUAAGUAACUGUGCACAUCUUGACGGUACCUAAUCAGAAAGCCACGGCUAACUACGUG